GUUUGUAGGUCAAAUAAACCCGGCCUAAGUAUAGCGUGAGCUAUAUUAAGUACAUCACAAAUUGCUGGAACAUCCUAUCUUUCUAAAGUAUAACAUAUUUUAUUUUAUAAAAAAAAUAAAAAUAUUGGACAAUCAGCAGGGCCCUUCAUAAAUUACAAUAGUAUAUUAUGUUGGAUCUUCAGAGACUAAACGUGGUGCUAGUUUCUAUUAUAUAAUAGAAACUAGAAGAUAUAGUCCAACCUUCGGUGUAAGCCGAAG
rnacentral:ncRNA from 1 species